rnacentral:rRNA from 1 species
CCUACGGUGGGCAUCAGUGGGGAAUAUUGCACAAUGGGCGCAAGCCUGAUGCAGCCAUGCCGCGUGUGUGAAGAAGGCCUUCGGGUUGUAAAGCACUUUCAGCGGGGAGGAAGGCGUUAAGGUUAAUAACCUUGUCGAUUGACGUUACCCGCAGAAGAAGCACCGGCUAACUCCGUGCCAGCAGCCGCGGUAAUACGGAGGGUGCAAGCGUUAAUCGGAAUUACUGGGCGUAAAGCGCACGCAGGCGGUCUGUCAAGUCGGAUGUGAAAUCCCCGGGCUCAACCUGGGAACUGCAUUCGAAACUGGCAGGCUAGAGUCUUGUAGAGGGGGGUAGAAUUCCAGGUGUAGCGGUGAAAUGCGUAGAGAUCUGGAGGAAUACCGGUGGCCAAGGCGGCCCCCUGGACAAAGACUGACGCUCAGGUGCGAAAGCGUGGGGAGCAAACAGGAUUAGAUACCCGAGUAGUC